rnacentral:rRNA from 1 species
UACGGAGGGUGCAAGCGUUAUCCGGAUUCACUGGGUUUAAAGGGUGUGUAGGCGGGCUGUUAAGUCAGUGGUGAAAUCUCCGGGCUCAACCCGGAAACUGCCAUUGAUACUAAUGGUCUUGAAUUUUGUUGAGGUAGGCGGAAUAUGUCAUGUAGCGGUGAAAUGGCUUAGAUAUGACAUAGAACACCGAUUGCGAAGGCAGCUUACUAAGCAAAUAUUGACGCUGAGGCACGAAAGCGUGGGGAUCAAACAGG